rnacentral:lncRNA from 1 species
ACUUCAUACAGUGAUAGAUGGAAAAAACAGAAAGCUUUGUACCAGGGUCCAUGAGCACAAAUGAAGACAGUCCUUCAGCAGACAGAGUUUGGUGAACCAACUCAAUUUUAUUCCAGAAUACGAGGAAUAUAUAGGAUUGGGGAGUCAGAGGACAAGCCCUAAUUUACAUUAAGAGGCACACUCCUAUCACAAGGGUUAGUAUGUGGCAGUUGGAUGCUAUUGCAGAGCUCCUAGUUCAAGUCUUCUUAACAGGGAUCUGUGCCAAGAAUCAAGCUAAAGAUGAAUCAGGCAUCUGGUUUUAGAGUCAGGCUCUGGUUUAGGGACAGCUUUCAGAUAAGGUCAGUCCUCCAGGCUCAGGGAAAUUCCCCAGAUAAGGCUAGGUAAAGAGCAGGAAGCUUUUCUAGGGAGGGAGGGAGCUCCAUGUGGCUGAGCUUAUUGAGAUAAGCUACUAGGCCAUGGAAAGCCUGAAACCUCUGACCAGCUGGCAAUGUCUUCCAAUACAUGUUACCAAGAUUCUGUUUGAGACACUCUUGGCCAUACCCCAGGAAUAAUUAAAGAGAAUCCAAGUGGUUUCCAGAACUCAUGUCCAACAGUUCCCAACUACCUGUAAUUCCAGCUCAGGUGUCUCAUGCCAGCAGGAUCAGUGGCAGUUCAAGCUGGCGGAUCUUGGUAGCCCUGCUCUUCAUUUAACUGGCAGUGGAGAAAAGCACAGCAAACAUGGAAGACAGGGAAGGCAGCAGAGCAAUGGUGCAGGUCGGUUGGUCUGAAGAAAAGUGAAAACAGCAUGUGCUACAGCCUUCCCUGCCUUAUGAGUGGAAUCAGUUUCCGGAGAACCCCAAAAAGGGUGUCACUGGUGUUGGGGAAUAAAGAUUGAGUGCUUUUAAUUUGAAAUCAGAAAUCCGCAGCUGUUUACAGUUCAAGUUACGACACGGAUUGUGGCCUCGUGCAUCUCUGCACAUGGAAAAAGUGAAUGCAGACUGGAAUGGUGAUUUCAUCAGGAAACGGUACACAGCCCUCCACUAUUCAUCAUGCUGCAGCCACCGUGAUAAGGUGGGACACCGCGUUGAGGGCUCACAUUCAAAUGGUGAAGACAGAUAACAAACAGCAGCAUAAAAGUUACCAAAGGAAUUACAAAUCGAGGUAAGGGCAAGGAAGGAAACAAACAAGAAGCUGCGGUACAGGCUCCAUAAAACGUGGUAGCUUGACUCUUCUCUGAGAGAGGGGAUGGCUGGGGCCAACCUGCUCCUGCGACCCAUUUGGUGGGUUAAGCGAGGCAGAACCAUCAAGGCACCUGGCACGGAGUUUCUAGGUGGUGGAGACCGGAUUCGAUUCUACAGCCCCGACUGCAGCCUUCUUUCUUGAAAAUGCUGACAGUCAUUUCCAGUCAAGUCAGAGGAAAGAGAAGAGCACACCGGAAGCCCCUGGUGAGAAAAACAUUGAAUCUAGCAUGGAAAAGAGCCGCGUAAAGAAGCUCAGUGACAGAAGGGUCAGCUGCCCACAGUCACAGCUAGAGUCGGUCCCAUCCUAACUGCCUUUGGGAAUAUGGUCAGGAGGCUUGAGUUUCUUUCUAAGAGCGGUGAGACCACAGGUGCAUUUCUGACAAGGUCUAGACUUGGUCUCAAACGUUUAAAAGAAGGUACCUCUGAUUGCAGUGUGGAGAAUGCACCACAAGCAGGAAAAUCAGUAAGGAGACCAGCAGGGGAGGGGAUACAGUUUUUGAUGAUGAGAUGGAGGAGAGAUUUGAACACAUUUUGGAGGCAGAAUGAAUAGCACUGUAUAGGACAAUGUGUUUGCCAACCUCAAGGAGGUGAUAGGAGGCCGGCACACCACAUGACACUGGGAUGCAGGCUUUUCUUAGAAGUGUGUUAACUCCAAAAGAGUAGUUCUUCUUAGGAGGCAGUUGCUGAGUGAAUUAGAAACAAAAGGGAAGAAAGGAAAACCUCGGUGUGUCUUAUUUCUUCAGCACAACAAAGCGGCUGGUGGGUGGUUGAAAAUUCUUUCUGGGGUAAUAUCUAUCACCUCAGAUGAGAGCACAGAGUUCAGGGAAGGUGAGUGACUAGCCACAAUGCAAACAUAAAUGCACUUUUCCUUUACCUAACACAUUGACUUCUACUAAGGAAAGAUGAAUUUGACAGCUAAGUCAAUUUCCCACCAAGCCUGUGACUCCAGAGUCCUUCGUUAUAGGCUGAGUAUUUUUAAAAUUUCUUAUUCCUUUAAUUAGUGAAAGACCCCUGCCCCUUAGCCCUCUCUUUCUCAAGUUUGCCUCCUCCUCCGGUCCGCGGCUGGUGGGGCGCGGGGAGGAUGCCUCCACUCCUGCGCCUUCCCGAUCACCACCCCCGCAGGCCUCCACUUCCCCCGCCGCCGCACGCCCGGCCGGCCACCGGUUCCCUCCAAAGCUGGUCCACCCUGGCGGGGCCCCGCGCCCCCUGCCCGCCCGCCUGGCACCGCGCCCCGGGGCUGGGGCCGAGCGAGGAGCCCGCGAGGAGGCCCGAGGGCGAGCAACAGGUGGGCCGGCACGAGGGCGAGCAUCAGGUGAGCCGGCCUGGGGCCCCGCCCCCGCGCCCCCGCCCGAUGGGGAACACUCCGUCCCAAGGUCUCCGCCCCCAAGGUAAGCCAUCUGGAUGCAGAGGGGGGAAUUGAGUCUGUUGUACCAGACACCAGACCUUGAGAAUAUGCUGGUCUGGAAUGGCUCUGUGCCUCAUUUGAACCAUCCAAUAGAAAUGACUCUGUAUUUCACCUCAUUUGAAUGACUCUAUACUUCGCCUCAUUUGAAUAACCCUGAGUAGCACCUCAUUUACAUUGACCAAUGGGAAUAGCUCUGUACUGCGCCUCAUUUGAAUUAUCCAAUAGAAUCCCUGCUUCUCGUUUGCGCUUUUUGCUAUAUAAGGACCCCUCUCCCUUGGCUUGUCGCGAUUGGCCUCACAGAAGCUAAGUCGCCCCGGGUACCCGUGUAUCCAAUAAAGCCUCUUGCUAUUUGCAUCCAAGUUCGUGGUCUCGCUGAUUCUUGGGUACGGGUCUCCUUCUACAAAAGUACCUCUUCGGGGGUCUUUCAUUAGGAAUGAUUUUCUCUAAGAUGUUAAAAAAUUUCUCAUUUUAAAUACUUGAAAUGAUGUUCAUCUAUGUUUUGCCUUGAGGUUUUUUGUUUUAUUUUUCCUUUCUUUCAUUCUGUAUGUCCUACUUCUUGCUUCCUCCACGUCUGGCCAGCUGGCUCCUAGCAUCGCUCUGUUGCCCUCUUUUCUUUCUUCUUUGAGCCUAAAUUCCUCCUCCUACUUACUCUUCUCAAAAUUCUGCCUAUACCUCUUCCCUAUUGACCAUUCAGGUUUUCAUUAGCUCAAUCUUUUGCCUUAGGCAGGCAAGGUGAAACAGCAAUACAUCUUUACAUAAUUAAACAAAUACAGCAAUCUUUACAUCAUCAAACAAAUAUUCCACAGCAUAAGCAAAUCCAAUAUAUCUUUACAUAGUUAUACAUUCCACAACAGUCCUUUUUCUCCUUGUAUAUGGAAACAGAGAAAGGUUGUCAGUAAAUUCACUUCACUAUGGCUAGGUCACCCCUUAGUCCCCACGUUUGCCUGCAGGAAUUUUUGCUGUUGACUGCAAGUUAGCUGCAGUGUGAACUGUGCACUGAGAAAGGGCUAAGGGACUGAGGAAUAUGGUGGCCUCAAGGAGUGUGGUGGAGGAAGUGUAAGAAGGCAAAUUGCCUUUUUAAAUUCACAGCCCAUUAGAGUCCUGGAAGAACCUCUCAAGUAUUCCUACAAGAGUAAGGCAAGUGGCAGAAGCUCUGAGGCUCAGCUAAUCUUACUACAGCCCCUCUCUCCUGCUUAAAAUACCAAAUUAUUUUGCAGUGCUGAGUGGGUGGUUGCCAGCUGAAACUUCAAAUGGAAUCAAUAACCGAAGCUGAUGUCUGGAAUCCACAAAUAAACCAGGGCUGCUGUGCAUCCAAGGGCAUCCGUGCCACUGAACCCAGCUGAGUCAUGUUACUAGUGGUGGAAAAACCCGAAGCAAACAGAACAGACCUGUGUGUGCACUUGUGAAAGGAGGGCUUGUGUCACCACUGCAUCUGGGGAGACUGCGUACCUUCUUGAGCCCUCAUCCAGUGGCUAAUGGAAGCAGAGGCAGACACCCAAGCUAAACACUGAACGGAACUCAGGAACCCAGUUGUAGAGAAGGAGGAAUGAAGAGCAAAGAGGUUGGGACCAGGCUUGUGAAACCCACAGAAACAGCUGACCUGAACAAGGGGGAGCACAUGGACCCCAGACUGAUGUCUGGGAGGCCUGCAUGGGACUGAUCCAGACCACUGAAUGUGGA